UUCAACCCCAAGUAUCAAUAAUCUUUUCUGAUUUUUAGGUGAUAUUGUAAGAGGACAAAGACCAACUUUUUGGCCACAAAGAAUGUAUACCAGCAACCCUGUGAGGUAGGUUGGACUGAGAGAAAGCGACUGGUCUAAAGUCACCCAGCGGGCUUUCAUGCAUAAGUUUCAUCUACUGGUGAAAAUCCAGGAUACGUAACCUGGAAAUCCAGGGAAAGUUACCCUAGUGACUUCUCCAAGCAAGUAGCUUCUCC